rnacentral:siRNA from 1 species
CUCUCCCACAACUUGACACAUCAG